rnacentral:rRNA from 1 species
CAGGUCAGGCGGGGCUACCCGCUGAUUUAAGCAUAUCAAUAAGC